rnacentral:rRNA from 1 species
UUAGUGGCGGACGGGUGAGUAACGCGUGGAUAACCUGCCGUAUACCGGGGGAUAACACUUAGAAAUAGGUGCUAAUACCGCAUAAGCGCACAGCUUCGCAUGAAGCGGUGUGAAAAACUCCGGUGGUGUAAGAUGGACCCGCGUCUGAUUAGCUUGUUGGCGGGGUAACGGCCCACCAAGGCGACGAUCAGUAGCCGGCCUGAGAGGGCGGACGGCCACAUUGGGACUGAGACACGGCCCAGACUCCUACGGGAGGCAGCAG